UACGGAGGGUGCAAGCGUUAUCCGGAUUUAUUGGGCGUAAAGAGCUCGUAGGCGACUUAGUAAGUCGGGUGUGAAGCCUCCAGGCUCAACCUGGAGACGCCACCCGAUACUGCUGUGGCUAGAGUCCGGUAGGGGAGCGUGGAAUUCCUGGUGUAGCGGUGAAAUGCGCAGAUAUCAGGAGGAACACCAGCGGCGAAGGCGGCGCUCUGGGCCGGUACUGACGCUGAGGAGCGAAAGCGUGGGGAGCAAACAGG
rnacentral:rRNA from 1 species